rnacentral:rRNA from 1 species
CAGCCGCCGCGGUAAUACAGAGGGUGCGAGCGUUAAUCGGAUUUACUGGGCGUAAAGCGUACGUAGGCGGCUUUUUAAGUCGGAUGUGAAAUCCCUGAGCUUAACUUAGGAAUUGCAUUCGAUACUGGGAAGCUAGAGUAUGGGAGAGGAUGGUAGAAUUCCAGGUGUAGCGGUGAAAUGCGUAGAGAUCUGGAGGAAUACCGAUGGCGAAGGCAGCCAUCUGGCCUAAUACUGACGCUGAGGUACGAAAGCAUGGGGAGCAAACAGGAUUAGAUACCCGCGUAGUCCCUGUCUCUUAUAC